CUCGCGGCCUAUCAGCUAGUUGGUGCGGUAACGGCGCACCAAGGCGAUGACGGGUAGCUGGUCUGAGAGGAUGGCCAGCCACAUUGGGACUGAGAAACGGCCCGGGCUCCUACGGGAGGCAGCAGUGGGGAAUUUUCCGCAAUGGGCGAAAGCCUGACGGAGCAAUACCGCGUGAGGGAGGAAGGCUCUUGGGUUGUAAACCUCUUUUCUCAGGGAAGAACAAAAUGACGGUACCUGAGGAAUAAGCAUCGGCUAACUCCGUGCCAGCAGCCGCGGUAAUACGGAGGAUGCAAGCGUUAUCCGGAAUUAUUGGGCGUAAAGCGUCCGCAGGUGGCAAUUCAAGUCUGCUGUUAAAGGUCAGGGCUCAACCCUGAACAGGCAGUGGAAACUGAAUAGCUAGAGUGCGGUAGGGGCAGAGGGAAUUCCCAGUGUAGCGGUGAAAUGCGUAGAGAUUGGGAAGAACACCGGUGGCGAAAGCGCUCUGCUAGGCCGUAACUGACACUCAUGGACGAAAGCUAGGGGAGCGAAUGGGAUUAGAUACCCCCAGUAGUCCUAGCCGUAAACGAUGGAUACUAGGCGUUGCUCGCAUCGACCCGAGCAGUGCCGUAGCUAACGCGUUAAGUAUCCCGCCUGGGGAGUACGCGCGCAAGCGUGAAACUCAAAGGAAUUGACGGGGGCCCGCACAAGCGGUGGAGUAUGUGGUUUAAUUCGAUGCAACGCGAAGAGCCUUACCAGGACUUGACAUGUCGCGAAUCUUUGGGAAACUAAAGAGUGCCUUCGGGAGCGCGAACACAGGUGGUGCAUGGCUGUCGUCAGCUCGUGUCGUGAGAUGUUGGGUUAAGUCCCGCAACGAGCGCAACCCUCGUUCUUAGUUGCCAGCAUUAAGUUGGGCACUCUAGGGAGACUGCCGGUGAUAAACCGGAGGAAGGUGGGGAUGACGUCAAGUCAGCAUGCCCCUUACGUCCUGGGCUACACACGUACUACAAUGCUACGGACAAAGGGCCGCAAGCUAGCGAUAGCAAGCAAAUCCCAUAAACCGUGGCUCAGUUCAGAUUGCAGGCUGCAACUCGCCUGCAUGAAGGCGGAAUCGCUAGUAAUCCCAGAUCAGCACGCUGGGGUGAAUACGUUCCCGGGCCUUGUACACACCGCCCGUCACAC
rnacentral:rRNA from 1 species